rnacentral:rRNA from 1 species
GAUGAACGCUGGCGGCGUGCCUAAUACAUGCAAGUCGAGCGAACGGACGAGAAGCUUGCUUCUCUGAUGUUAGCGGCGGACGGGUGAGUAACACGUGGAUAACCUACCUAUAAGACUGGGAUAACUUCGGGAAACCGGAGCUAAUACCGGAUAAUAUUUUGAACCGCAUGGUUCAAAAGUGAAAGACGGUCUUGCUGUCACUUAUAGAUGGAUCCGCGCUGCAUUAGCUAGUUGGUAAGGUAACGGCUUACCAAGGCAACGAUGCAUAGCCGACCUGAGAGGGUGGUUGGCCAUACUGGAAGUGAGACACGGUCCAGACUCCUACGGGAGGCAGCAGUAGGGAAUCUUCCGCAAUGGUCGAAAGCCUGAAGGAGCAACGCCGCGUGAGUGAUGAAGGUCUUCGGAUCGUAAAACUCUGUUAUUAGGGAAGAACAUAUGUGUAAGUAACUGUGCACAUCUUGACGGUACCUAAUCAGAAAGCCACGGCUAACUACGUG